rnacentral:rRNA from 1 species
GAUGACGCUGGUGGCGUGCAUCAUACAUGCUAUUCGAUCGAGGGGCUUUUGUAGCAAUACGAGAGUAUCCUAGUGGCGAACGGGGGAAUGACGCGUUGGUGACCUGCCCCAAAGUGUGUGACAACAGUCCGACAGGAUUGCUAAUACCACAUGUGGUCAUUGGAUUUAGAAACUGAUGACUAAAGGAGCAAUUCGCUUUGGGAGGGACCUGCGUCCCAUCAGCUAGUUGGUGAGGUAAUGGCUCACCAAGGCGACGACGGGUAGGGGACCUGAGAGGGUGCCCCCCCACAAUGGAUCUGAAACACGGUCCAUACACCUACGGGUGGCGGCAGUUGGGAAUAUUGCACAAUGGGCGAAAGCCUGAUGCACCAACGCCGCGUGUGUGAUGAAGGCCUUCGGGUCGUAAAGCACUUUUCUGGGAGAUGAGAAAGGACAGUAUCCCAGGAAUAUGUCUCGGCUAACUACGUGCCAGCAGCCGCGGUAAAACGUAGGAGGCAAGCGUUAUCCGGAUUCACUGUGCGUAAAGCGCGUGCAGGUGGCGCGCUAAGUUAUGCGUGAAAUCUCCCUGGCUCAACUGUGAGAGGUCGUCUAAUACUACAGUGCUUGAGAGCAGCAGGAGAAGAUGGAAUUCCCGGUGUAGUGGUGAAAUGCGUAGAUAUCGGGAGGAACACCAGUGGCGACGGCGAUCUUCUGGUCUGUUUCUGACACUCAGACGCGACAGCUAGGGUAGUAAACGGGAUUAGAGACCCCCGGUACUCCUAGCCGUAAUCGAUGUGAACUUGGCGUUGGUGGGUUAAACUCCAUCAGUGCCGUAGCAUACGCGAUAAGUUCACCGCCUGGGGACUACGGCCGCAAGGUUAAAACUCAAAGGAAUUGACGGGGGCCCGCACAAGCAGCGGAGCGUGUGGUUUAAUUCGAUGCUACACGAAGAACCUUACCCAGGCUUGACAUACAGGUGGUAGGGAUCCGAAAGGUGACCGACCCGCAAGGGAGCCUGAACAGGUGUUGCAUGGCUGUCGUCAGCUCGUGUCGUGAGAUGUUCGGUUAAGUCCGCUAACGAGCGCAACCCUCGCUGCGUGUUACAAGUGUCACGCAGGACCGCCGGUAUUAAGCCGGAGGAAGGUGGGGAUGACGUCAAGUCAGCAUGGCCUUUAUGCCUGGGGCUACACACACGCUACAAUGGGCAGUACAAUGGGUUGCUAAGCCGCGAGGUGGAGCCAAUCCCCCAAAACUGUCCUCAGUUCAGAUUGCAGGCUGCAACUCGCCUGCAUGAAGCCGGAGUUGCUAGUAAACGCGCGUCAGCUAUAGUGCGUUGAAUACGUUCUCGGGCCUGUACUC